GACGAGUCUGACGACCGUUAUUCGGAAUUACUGGGCUUAAAGGGUGCGUAGGCGGUGGAGUACGUCGGAUGUGAAAUACCUUAGCUUAACUAAGAAACUGCACUCGAUACUACUUUGCUAGAGUAAGACAGAGGUGAGUGGAACUGAGGGUGGAGCGGUGAAAUGCGUUGAUAUCCUCAGGAACACCGGUGGCGAAGGCGACUCACUGGGUCUUUACUGACGCUGAUGCACGAAAGCUAGGGUAGCAAACGGG
rnacentral:rRNA from 1 species